rfam:Tncinocarpus reesii 1704 scaffold_1 genomic scaffold, whole genome shotgun sequence.
ACAUACGACCAUAGGAAGUGGAAUACAGGGCUUCCCGUCCGCUCAGCCGUACUUAAACCACUUGCCGGCCGGCUAGUAGUUGGGUGGGUGACCACCAGCGAAUCCCGGCUGUUGUAUGUU